rnacentral:rRNA from 1 species
UACGGGGGGGGCAAGCGUUGUUCGGAAUUACUGGGCGUAAAGGGCUCGUAGGCGGCCAUCUAAGUCAGACGUGAAAUCCCUCGGCUUAACCGGGGAACUGCGUCUGAUACUGGAUGGCUAGAGUGUGGGAGAGGGAUGCGGAAUUCCAGGUGUAGCGGUGAAAUGCGUAGAUAUCUGGAGGAACACCGGUGGCGAAGGCGGCAUCCUGGACCACGACUGACGCUGAGUGAGCGAAAGCCAGGGGAGCAAACGGG